rnacentral:misc_RNA from 1 species
GAUGAAGAACGUAGCGAAAUGCGACAAGUAAUGUGAAUUGCAGAAUUCAGUGAACCAUCGAAUCUUUGAACGCACAUUGCGCCCGCUGGAACUCCGGCGGGCACGCCUGUCCGAGCGUCAUUUCAACCCUCAGGCCCCCCUUCGCGGGCGGGCCUGGUGUUGGGGCCCGGCCGCUACCCUGCGGCCGUCCCCUAAAUCCAGUGGCGGCCUCGCCGUGAUCCCUUGCGUAGUAAUGCACCUCGCACCGGAGAGCGCCGUGGCCACGCCGUAAAACCCCCAAUUUUCAAUGGUUGACCUCGGAUCAGGUGGGAAUACCCGCUGAACUUAAGCAUAUCAAUAAGCGGAGGA